UACGUAGGGGGCAAGCGUUGUCCGGAAUCAUUGGGCGUAAAGAGCGUGUAGGCGGUUCGGUAAGUCGGCUGUGAAAGUCCAGGGCUCAACCCUGGGAUGCCGGUCGAUACUGCCGGACUAGAGUUCGGAAGAGGCGAGUGGAAUUCCCGGUGUAGCGGUGAAAUGCGCAGAUAUCGGGAGGAACACCUAUGGCGAAGGCAGCUCGCUGGGACGUUACUGACGCUGAGACGCGAAAGCGUGGGUAGCGAACAGG
rnacentral:rRNA from 1 species